rnacentral:lncRNA from 1 species
AAAGCUCCAGUGGCUCCCAGAGGACUGCCUCCCCAGGGCCUGGCAUCACCCUGAAGCCUGAAGCUUGAUUUGGUGGCUUCUUGGACAAGAGCCUGAUAACAGAACCAUAAAGGAAGGUUGACAAGCUUCCCCUCCUGACUCCAAUCCACUCCCCUGAGGUCACAUAAAACUGACUGCAUUCAGGGUCCAAAGGCUCCAUGGACAUGGAAAAUGUGGUCCCUGGGCCAGAAGAGAGGUUAGUUAUGCAGAAGGUUUCACAUGAAGAACAGAUAAAGCCUCUCUCACUCCUGGAAAACCCAGACACUUCAACUGUUAGGUCUGGAAAGGAGUUCAAAAGGACAUGGAUGUAUUACUGGGCAGUCAACAGUCAACAAUGCCUUCACAAUGCUGUGAAGAUCUUUUGCCAGCUUAACUCAGGUGAACUUAUGAAGAUGGCAGUUGUUCAGUUUGGAGAAUAGUGCCAUGCAACAACAGAUGCAGGGUUCUUUGGAAGGACCAGAGCUCCUGAGAGCUGCCGUGGUGGCUCCCAGGAACCCGCUCUGAAGAUAAGGAAACUGAGUCCUAAGGUAUGAGAGGCUGAGCUGAGCUGGGGCCCUCUUCCCUACACAGUGGGUCUCCAGGACUGAGGCAGGUCCCACGUGAUUAGGCAGAGGAAGAGUGUUAGUCUUACUAGCCAAAGAUGAAAAUGGCUUAGAUGCCAAGUGGGUGGGCUGCUUGGAGGAUACUCUGGACCUAGGUGGUGGGGGCAGACAGGUGGGGCCUUCUUGUGGAGAGGCUUCAGCCAGUGUUGAGACACGGUGGCUGAUCCAGCAGCUCUUGCCUCUGGUCUGACUUCCAACUGCCCAAUUAUUCCUAAGUGCCUCCUAUCGACCGCAGCCGGUGCUGUCCAGCGCAUAUUCUGUGCCUACAGCCCCGAGGCUGCUUCUCCAUCCGAUGGCCUUGUUAGGGCUAAUUGCUCUGGCAUUUGGGUCUGAUGAGGACAAAAAUGGCUGGAUCCUGCCAGAUGUCAGGGAGCCUCAUUCUCUUUCCAGUCCAGUAGGUGAGUGGUGACAGGACACCUCAGCCCCCCACAAAUGGACCUUAGUCAUGAGACCAUAAAUCCCUGUCUGGUAGUGGGUCCCUUCCCCAAUCUCCUGGGUGAUGAGGGGUGUUACUUCACUUUCCAUUCUGUAUGGGGCUUACUCUGCACAGUAC